ACACGACUACAUUAGAUACACGGGUAGUCCUAGCCGUAAACGAUACUCGCUAGGUGUCGGCCACGGUGCGACCGUUGUCGGUGCCGUAGGGAAGCCGUGAAGCGAGCCACCUGGGAAGUACGGCCGCAAGGCUGAAACUUAAAGGAAUUGGCGGGGGAGCACCACAACGGGUGGAGCUUGCGGUUUAAUUGGAUCCAACGCCGGAAAUCUUACCGGGACCGACAGCAACAUGAAGGCCAGGCUGAAGACUUUGCCGGAUUAGCCG
rnacentral:rRNA from 1 species